AUACUGAUGAGGAGUCCCAAACUAGGACGAAACAGAUGUCCAGUAG
rnacentral:hammerhead_ribozyme from 1 species